CAGUCUUCCACAUCUCACUACCCGAGAACAGGGCUGCACGAGAAUGAAGCCAGCCCAGAGGAAAGCCGGAGCAACCACGGCCGGGUCACGUGGACCCUGCUGCACCUCAGCAGGUCCUUUCCUUGACUUUUCAGUCACGAGGCCAAUUCAAGAGGCACAGUUCUCCAAGGAUGGAAGAUGGGGGUGGAGAAGGCAACAAAGAUGGAUGAGCUGGGGCCAUGAUGAUGAGGAUGAUGAUGUUGAUGAUGAUGAUGGUGAUGGCGGCCGAGUGCCCUGUGAUUUACAGGCCCAUCUGGUUUCAUGUUUGCAACAGCCAAUCAAGUGGGUACCAGGUGCCAUCAUUCCCACUUUACAGAUGAGAAGACUGAGCCCCAGACAGGUUAAGUGACUCCCCCAGCCCUGCAAUGAGGAAGGGCCCAGCACAGCUCCAGGCACAACAAGCAGGCACUCCAAGCAUAGGGAGGUCUGGUGGACCAGGCCUGGCCCAGGAGCUUGUCGGCAAGGCAGAGCCGCAUCCAGGCUCCCGGACCAGGAUCCGCACACGAACAACAGGCCCAGGAGUUCCCAUGGCUGUGGCUGCUGGACCCCCGCACCAGGUGGGCUGGCGGCUGUGUCCCACACAUGCUCUCUAGAGCCUGAGAAAUGCUCAUCCUGCAGGUGAUUUGGGGGGUGUCUGCUCCCACCUUCACUGCUCUCAGACCAAAUUUCUGCUUCCUGACAGAAUUUGUAGGAUCCUCCCUCUGUCCUCUUAGCCAAGGAGGGGAGAAGCUCUCUCCCUCCCUCACCAUGGGGGAGGUCACCAGUGGGUGGAUUUCAUGACCCACAUACCUCCCAGGGCUGGCAUGCGGGGUCCAGCAGUCCCAGCCACAACUAUGUCAUCCCGCUUCCUUUCCUCUCACGGUGAAGGAGGCGGAAGAGAGGUUGUUGCUCCCACCUUUUGGAUGGGGAAACUGAGGCUUAGAGAGCAGAAGCAGCUUGCCCAGGGCCUGGCAGCACCAGUCCCGCCUACGACCCACCGCCCUUUCCCCCGCUCCACUCUUACCUCCUCCCCCAGGUUUCUGGGUCUGGGUUUAUCUCUUUAUCUGGGUCUGCACCCACAGCUGCCCCAUUAGAUCAAACAGGGCUUGGCUUCCAGGAACGCCGGGUGCCUUGGCAUUGCUGGCCUGGCUGGCAGCUGCUGGCUGGUGAGCCCCAGCUGAGGCUGUCUCCUCUCCCCAGGCACUCCCCAGGCCUUUAGAGAGGACAUUCUCCCACUCUCUUUUAUGGAAAGCCAUGGAAUCUUCUGUGUGGAUGCAGCCUGGGCAGUCAGAGAGGGGCCUGGCCCUCACGUGGCCGCAGCUGACCCCUCCCCGCCGCAGCUCUCCAGUCUCCUCUGCGACGUGACAGCCCUGGCUUCUCUGCUGUGGGGAGGAGAGUAUUUUUAGUUUUGAACCCACCACGUGAAGCGAGACAAGUUAUCAAUAGCAGCAGCAAAGGGCUUUUUCUUUCUCUCUCUCUUUUUUUUUUUUCCCAUGUCUUUGGGACCUGAACAAUCUGCACCCAUUAAAUUCUGCCAAAAGAAAAAAUAGUGUUCCUCUUAUAAACUUUUUACCCCACAGCUUCCUUGCUGCUGCAGC
rnacentral:lncRNA from 10 species